ACAGAAAACAAAAAUCGCAAAUUUUCUUAAUCGCAUGAAACAAAUUCAAAAUUUUCUUCAGUUCCCCGUCACCUCAUCCCCCAAUUUUCCUUGAAACAAAUCAUAAUACAAACUCCAACUACUCAAUUCAAAACCCCUCCCCUCCAAUAAGGAAAAAAAAUUCAGAAAAUUAAAAGUAGACUCUGUACCGACUUACAGUUGAAGAGCUUCUAGAAACUUGUCGUG
rnacentral:misc_RNA from 1 species